rnacentral:rRNA from 11 species
CACAUGACUCUCGGCAACGGAUAUCUCGGCUCUUGCAUCGAUGAAGAACGUAGCAAAAUGCGAUACCUGGUGUGAAUUGCAGAAUCCCGUGAACCAUCGAGUUUUUGAACGCAAGUUGCGCCCGAGGCCUUGUGGCCGAGGGCACGUCUGCCUGGGCGUCACGC